rnacentral:rRNA from 1 species
GGUAACAGGUCUUCGGAUGCUGACGAGUGGCGAACGGGUGAGUAAUACAUCGGAACGUGCCCGAUCGUGGGGGAUAACGAAGCGAAAGCUUUGCUAAUACCGCAUACGAUCUACGGAUGAAAGCAGGGGACCGCAAGGCCUUGCGCGAACGGAGCGGCCGAUGGCAGAUUAGGUAGUUGGUGGGGUAAAGGCUUACCAAGCCUACGAUCUGUAGCUGGUCUGAGAGGACGACCAGCCACACUGGGACUGAGACACGGCCCAGACUCCUACGGGAGGCAGCAGUGGGGAAUUUUGGACAAUGGGCGCAAGCCUGAUCCAGCAAUGCCGCGUGCAGGAUGAAGGCCUUCGGGUUGUAAACUGCUUUUGUACGGAACGAAAAGGCUCUGGUUAAUACCUGGGGCUCAUGACGGUACCGUAAGAAUAAGCACCGGCUAACUACGUGCCAGCAGCCGCGGUAAUACGUAGGGUGCGAGCGUUAAUCGGAAUUACUGGGCGUAAAGCGUGCGCAGGCGGUUAUGUAAGACAGAGGUGAAAUCCCCGGGCUCAACCUGGGAACUGCCUUUGUGACUGCAUAGCUAGAGUACGGCAGAGGGGGAUGGAAUUCCGCGUGUA